rnacentral:rRNA from 1 species
CCUACGGGUGGCAGCAGUCGAGAAUCAUUCACAAUGGGGGAAACCCUGAUGGUGCGACGCCGCGUGGGGGAAUGAAGGUCUUCGGAUUGUAAACCCCUGUCAUGUGGGAGCAAAUUAAAAAGAUAGUACCACAAGAGAAAGAGACGGCGAACCCUGUGCCAGCAGCCGCGGUAAUAAAGAGGUCUCAAGCGUUGUUCGGAAUCACUGGGCGUAAAGGGUGCGGGGGCCGUUUCGUAAGUCGUGGGUGAAAGGCGCGGGCUCAACCCGCGGACGGCACAUGAUACUGCGAGACUAGAGUAAUGGAGGGGGAACCGGAAUGCUCGGUGUAGCAGUGAAAUGCGUAGAUAUCGAGAGGAACACUCGUGGCGAAGGCGGGUUCCUGGACAUUAACUGACGCUGAGGCACGAAGGCGAGGGGAGCGAAAGGGAUUAGAUACCCUUGUAGUC